AGUAUCUGUAAAUGUUAUAGUGGUUAAGCGAAUUAGUGCCGUCGCCUAUGUACCGCUUUUUUUGCUUCCCCUGACAGAUGUGAAACUCCGAUUCACACUGCCACCAUCCACCAUCCACCAUCCACCAUCCGUCAAAAACAGGUGAUGCCAAUAACAAGUUCAUUAAAUUUGCGCGGAAGAUUUAUUAAUUCUUGGUUCUUAUAAUGGAUGAUGAAGAUAUAGCAAUUAUUUCGGCUGUGGUUCAACAGCAAAAUAUUUUCUUGCACCAACUAAUAAUAUUGCUGUCAAUGAAUAAUGAUGAUGACGAUGAUGACUUUAACAUUGACGAGGAUGAGAUGACCCAGAUGACUGCCAUAAAAACACAAAAGCCAGGAAGAUUAUGGUCGUUUAAGCGGUUCGGGACAUUUUGGGAGAAAGAUGUACCAGAAAACAACGAGGCGUUUUUCAAAGAGAGUUUCCGAAUGGAGAGGCCAUGCUUUGAUAUUUUAGUGAAUCGGCUUGAAGUGCUGCGAAAGAAGGACACCAACUGCCGAGCUGCAAUUCCUUUGGAAAAGCGCAUCGCCAUUGCGCUAUAGACUUUGGGCUCGUCCUCUGAGUACCGAACAGUUGGCAGGCUUUUCGGUGUAGCUCCAAACAGUGUGUGUAAUAUCCUGCACGAGUUUUGCAGAGCACUUAUAGAUACAGAUUUACAUAUGUAAAUAUCGGCUCUGCAGGAAGGUGCAAUGACUCGAUGAUAUACCAGAAGUCAAGCCUUGCAAAACAUAUCGAAGCAUCGGCAUUACUCCAAGAGAAAGCCAAGGAAAUAAGCGGAGUAAACGUCCCUGUAAUGCUUAUCGGGGACUCGGCAUUUAGGUUUUCUAAAAAGCUGAUGAAACCUUCCCCGUUUUCCACAGUCGCCUCUUUGGAAUAGCGCACGUUUAACUACAACCUUUCCAAAGCUAGGCGAGUGGUGGAAAAUGCAUUUGGGCAUUUAAAAGCCAGAUUUCGAAUAUUCGGAAAAGGUCUUGAUAGCCACCAAAAAAAUAAUAGCGCCAUAAUAAUGAGCUGUUGUAUUUUACACAAUAUAUUAAAUAUGCACAACAGCGCGAUUAAUGAAAAUUGGGAGCUUGCAACAAAUGAGCAGCGCGAACAGCCCGAUACCGGCAACAGUUCUGCUGCCUUUAUCAGUCAGCAGAACAGAUACGAUCUUAUUACGAACUUAUUUAUUUUUAUUUUUUAAAACUUCUAAUAAGUCGUUCUGGAAUUUUGUUUGGGUGCUGAUCAAGUCCUGCACCAUCUUCUCCUGCCUAACGUCGUGCUCCUCCUUCUUUUUAUGGUGGUCCUUUUGUUGUUCGAGACGCUCCUGGGCGAUCUCUGCCAGCCACGAAAUGUCGGUCUUUUUCUUUUUCUUUUGCGGACGCCCAGACAAGGUGCUGGAGCUACAAGAUCCGUCCAGGUCCAUCUCAAUAAUAUCCGAAAAGUGCUCAUCAGGAUCUGCAAUGAACACCUUAAAUGAAAUAUAUUUUUUUAGCAAUAAAUUAAUAAAACUUACUGUCGUUGUCCAAUGUGCUCUGCUCCAUGUUGUUUGCACUCAAGAUGCCAAA